UCACGUCGAUUUAUACUCAACUCUAUAAACACUACGUGAUCACUUUGAAGUAAUUCGAUUAAGACUAUAGUACACAUAUGCAUUGCAUAGUAAACGUUCGUCGCGACACGCCAUCUGCGUAUGCCCACGUAUAACUGUCGCCAUUACGAAAUGUGUCCCGGCUCGAUAUGUUUACAUUUUGUGCGGCUUCGAAUUGCGUCUCAGUUUUGGUAUCUGUAAGUUUACAUUCUGUUCGGCUCGAUCGCGUUCGCGAGGAAAACAUUCCAUCUAUUAGUACGCAACGAACCCCAGUCAGGGUCGGUCACAAUGUGUAAAGUGUAAAAUUUUGGUUACGAAGUGUUCUAUGGUGCCGGUUCUAACUUGGAAUUACGAUAUUGGAUCGGAAUUACGACUUUCGUAGCGAACACGAAAAGAGUCGGCUAUUUUAAUACAUUUUUUGUAUCUCCACAAAAGAAUGCAUCCCAGGACAUCGGAAGCUACUAAAAGAAGUCUAAAGCAAAAAGCACAAACGAGAGGACGAGGAACAAAAACGAAUCGUAAAACGACGGGAGGGAUCGAAAAAGAUGUAAACAGCGUGAAACCGCGACACUCUCGAGAAACUAUGGAAAUUCGAAGGUCGUAAGGAGUCAGCAACAGCGAAAGUCCCGUUUCUGUAUCCUCUCGCCUGAUGCAUCGACCAACCGAUAGAGGGUUCUUCGAUGAGGGAGAAACACAAGUUCCGAUCCGGUCAGACGACUUGUGUGCAUCUCUCUGAACGUGCACAGCUGGGCUAGGUGUCGUUCGGGCUCGCGUGGAUAGGUAAGAAAGAAGGAGCAAAAGAGAGAUUUAAAAGCGAGGCUAAAGGGUGCAGGAGGGUAGCGGAUACUGGGUUAGCACCGGAUUGUAUCUACUCGAGCACGAAACGGUUUACAUUUACUAAAAGUUUCCAAUUGCAUGGAGCACACCGGAUAUCCACUCUACUUUCCUCCUUCGGAGAUGUCAUUUUACUGGCGGCGAUGGCCGGAGAGAUGCAAGCGGCGACUACAGAGCCUUUCCUCUAUCCCUUCCUCUCUCUCUUUCUCUCUCUCUCUUUCUCUCUGUCUCUGUCUUUUAGCGGCGAACGACUUCAAAGUCGUAGCGGGGAAUCGUUUCGCAAAUCCUUGGAGGAGGCGUAUUGGGCCUUUUCGUACACCAGCACCUCGAUUUCACUUCGUGCACUACCCCACCACUCGACUUUGUCUCUCUUUCUGGCUCUCGUUAUCUAUAAUGGGUUUUCGCCGUUCCUUAGCGAACUGCAGAAAUCCCGUCUACCGUGUAAACCCGUUCGUCCUUCGGUAUUAUGGUCUUACAAUUAUGCAGCGGAUUUCACGACACUGUGUCUACGCUGUCCGUUACCGUUCUUUUCUUUACUCGGAGCAACAUUACGCUUCGAUAGAUAGAAGGUCUAUCAUUGCCACUUAGGCGUUAUUUAUAUAUUAGGUUGAAGUAUUGAUUGAGAUUCUUAAAGAAAAAAAAAAAAAAAGAAAAAAAGAGAAAGAUUUGCGGUUGUAAGUGGUGCGGGUUCGAAGUCUGCAAUGACUAAAUUUGACGUUAUUUGAUAUACUGUGGCGAAGCUUGUGAAAAGUGAAACCUCUUCUUCUUACAUUAUUGCGUUUAAUCAAUAUUCUGCUACGAUUUUCGUUAACGAAUCACUGAAUUGAGAUAACUUCUCGUGAUCGCUUUGUUACGUGUCAAAGAAGGUACUGAUGAUUUCACACAAACUAUUCUUAUAUUCUAUAAUUUUUCUGCGAGGAAGAUCUUCUAGAUUUCCAUUAAAAUAUCAAGGAAUUAUCUUAGAUAACGUACGAACUUCUUCUACCUUGAUCACGGUCUAAUUAAACAUUCCGAUUUUGCUUCGUUAUCGUAUGUUAAUAUAUUGUACCAUGAUAUACGUUAAUAUAUUUCAUAUUCUAACUCGAAAUUACCAUUUCGCGUUGCUUUGACAAACUUUGUCUAACGAUCCGCGUAACCGGAUAUCUCUCCGCAGCCUUGCCAGAAUCGCUUUAAAAUUACAUUGGUACAUUCACGGCCAAUGUAAACUCCCAGUUCAACGUUAUUCCAGCGAGCGAAUAAAUGCAAAACGGUUUCCCAACCGUGGAGGGCCAGAUUUCCUCGGAGAAAUAAUCGUUGACGAAGGUCGACGACGACGACGACACCCAUGGAUUGGAUCGAGGGUCGGCCAGUGGAAACGGAACGUUAGGGUCCGGGAAAAGCCAGGCGAAAAAGGAAGGACGGUAGCAGGCGAGACGUUCGAUGUAGGAGUGAGACAGGGCUGGUUACAAAGUUGCGAAUUAAAAAUACAAAGAAGAACGAGAUAGGCGGCGAACGGGGGUUGAAAAAGGUGGUGAAGGUUGGUCGAGGAAGGGUAAAUUUGAGACAAAGGGUGGCACGGGAACAAUGCCUUGUAAUCUCGAGCCCUUAGAAUAGCCCUGCGUUGCUCCGUUCGGCUCAAGCACGCCUUUCCCCCUGCGACCUACAGCGUAUCGAAAGCACUGAUUUUCGACCGCUUAAUACAGGGCCAAGCGGUUAGUUUUCAAUCGACGAUCUGUUAAAAUUAUCCGAGUACAAUGACAAGGUUGAACGAAUUAACUUUGCAAGAUCCUGCUAGAAGAAGUUCCGUUUUCGUGAACGAUAACCGUCCAAAAAGUAAUGAGAAAAUAACGGAUGUAGAGCUGUUGGGAGGGUGAUACGAUGGCGAAGGGGAAUGGACGAGCUUCGGCUCGUAAAAACACGAGAAGAUCUCGUGGCUGUGAUCGUUCUUCCAUCCUGGAAGAAAUGUAUGAAAAGCUGGCGAGAAAAUAAGAAGCUCGCGCGGAAUUAAUGUCGCGUUUUAUGACCGGCCGAGUGAAAACGAUACGAUGAGGCGAGCCACUCGAAGCCCAUUGAAUAUGAACGACGCGGAAUAUUCUGGACUCGAUGAAAGCAUUUAGUGGACCUGAAAGGUACGGUAAUGUGAGUUAAGAUAACGAUUAUUCAUUGAAAUGAGUUUGAAUUAGUUGUUUCCUUUGAUGUAAAAUACUUUAAUGUACGAUAUGUUUAAUUGGCUAUAUACAUGUUUAAAUAAGGCAUGUUUGUAUGUAUAAAAAGAUGUGAAAGCUUCUAUUUUAAAUUCCAGCUCAUUAAAUUAAUCGAAUUCCGGUGUCAUAUCAUCAAGUUUAAAUUUAGUUUCACGAAUUAUUUUCAUCCUCAAGUCACGGUAUAUCACAAAGUUCGCACAAUUCGGAGAAACGUGUUAAUUGCGAGGAUUUUUCUCUUAGCGUGUGCAACAGAUAUUAGAACAGUUGGCAACAGCUUCCUAUUCAUUCAGGCGAUGUGGAAUAGCGUUUCAAAAGUUCUUCGCGGCAACUUCCGCGGAUAGGUACCUAGAAGACGGAAGCGAGUUAAUAAAAGAAGAAGAAUAACAGGAUAAUUUACAUUGUCAAAUUUUCAUUGUGCGCCCUCUUGUCUGAAUUAUCCAGCCGUCUUUCUUCGCUUCGCUCAACUACUCCUUGCCGAGUCGCUACCCUUUCCCUAACCGAAUCCUCGUCUCGCCGCGCCAUGUUACAUCCCCUUGGCAGUCUAUCCACAAAGAAAAACUUUUGCGGAUUACCAUCUCGUCGUGGUUCUUGUUAAUAUUUAUUAGAUGCCCAGCGUUGGAAGGCAAUGAGGAUCGGCAGGAUUGCCUCGUGUUAGGGGCAACGUAAAACUUUCGCACUCCAACUCGCCGCAUUUUCGAUGAAAGUGAUUACGGUGGAAAAUAAAAAAAAGAAAAAAAAAAGGAAAAGGAAAGGAGAGAAAAAAGGAAGAAGGAGAAACUACAUCAGUGUUUCGCGUUGCAACGAUCUAUGAAUAUCCAGCUAUUUAAGCUCGCUGGUAGACGAACCUUUUCAAAAAUUCAUUUCAACGAGCUAAAUUAAUCUCAUAAAGUCGUUCCUUCUUUUUUUUUUUUUCUUUCGUUCCUUUCUUUUAGUUUGUACUUCCAUUUCCAGCGCCUCUGAAUGUUAAUUACGUGAGUAUUCUGGGGGUUAUGCCUACAAUACGAUAAUUUAUAACCCGCGGAUAAUCAAGAGAAAUGAUUUAACGGCUGUUGUGUUAAUUAGAUUUCUUGAUAAACGCAACCUAACGUUAAUUAGUGGAAAGUUAUCGUAUGAUUAUUUCGACGAGAAAGGACUCAGGGGUUUAAGGGCGAAUAUGAGAACUAUGAACGAUGAGUUUAUACCGGUGAUUGCUAUUUAUGUCAGUUAUUGCGUAUACAUUUUUGUGUAGUGUUUUUGAAUUAAUUGAUAUCACGCCGCGCAUUCUUUUGCAUGUUUUUUUAAUCGAGCUGCAUACAGUUGUUCUGCUGCUUCGGCAAUCGUACGUUAAUAAGUAUUUUAUGCAUAUCGCGCAACAAUUACGCUUCAAAUUACAACAUUCAUUAAGCUCCAUAUAUAUUCAUAAACAUCGUUGUGGUAUUCAUAUGUAUAUUACUUUUUAUAUUGUGCGUGCGUGUAAAAUCAUUUCCCUUUAAUGACGCGUUAUUAUACGUCUGCUUUAGCAUCUAUUUUUUGUAUUCUGUAAAAUGCACAUUUUUUAAAACAUAACGCAUAGUAUACCUUUCGCUUACAGCAAUUAACAAUACUUUCGACCUUACAUCACAUUCCUUACAAACCUUCCGUACAAACUGUACCUAAUCGUACAUUCAGCAUUGUAUACAUAUUGUCAUCCUCUUUUAUUCUAUUAUUCUAUUCUAAUCUAAUAUUACUCUCCGACCAACA